rnacentral:rRNA from 1 species
UCCCAGACUCCUACGGGAGGCAGCAGUGGGGAAUAUUGGACAAUGGGGGGAACCCUGAUCCAGCGACGCCGCGUGAGUGAAGAAGUAUUUCGGUAUGUAAAGCUCUCUCAGCAGGGAAGAAAGAAAUGACGGUACCUGACUAAGAAGCCCCGGCUAACUACGUGCCAGCAGCCGCGGUAAUACGUAGGGGGCAAGCGUUAUCCGGAUUUACUGGGUGUAAAGGGAGCGUAGACGGCAGCACAAGUCUGAAGUGAAAUGCCGGGGCUUAACCCCGGAACUGCUUUGGAAACUGUGCAGCUAGAGUGCAGGAGAGGUAAGUGGAAUUCCUAGUGUAGCGGUGAAAUGCAUAGAUAUCGCGCAGAACUCCGAUUGCGAAGGCAGCGUACCGGCGCCAGACUGACGCUGAGGCACGAAAGCGUGGGGAUCGAACAGGAUUAGAUACCCCCGUAC